rnacentral:rRNA from 1 species
GACGAACGCUGGCGGCGUGCUUAACACAUGCAAGUCGAGCGGUAAGGCCCUUUCGGGGGUACGACGAGCGGCGAACGGGUGAGUAACACGUGGGUGACCUGCCCUCAGCUCUGGGAUAAGCCUGGGAAAGUUGGGUCUAAUACUGGAUAUGACUCCACGGUGCAUGUCGUGGGGUGGAAAGCCUUGUGCGGCUGAGGAUGGGCCCGCGGCCUAUCAGCUUGUUGGUGGGGUGAGGCCUACCAAGGCGACGACGGGUAGCCGGCCUGAGAGGGCGACCGGCCACACUGGGACUGAGACACGGCCCAGACUCCUACGGGAGGCAGCAGUGGGGAAUCUUGCGCAAUGGGCGAAAGCCUGACGCAGCGACGCCGCGUGAGGGAUGACGGCCU